GAUGAACGCUGGCGGCGUGCCUAAUACAUGCAAGUCGAGCGAACAGACGAGGAGCUUGCUCCUCUGACGUUAGCGGCGGACGGGUGAGUAACACGUGGAUAACCUACCUAUAAGACUGGGAUAACUUCGGGAAACCGGAGCUAAUACCGGAUAAUAUAUUGAACCGCAUGGCUCAAUAGUGAAAGACGGUUUUGCUGUCACUUAUAGAUGGAUCCGCGCCGCAUUAGCUAGUUGGUAAGGUAACGGCUUACCAAGGCAACGAUGCGUAGCCGACCUGAGAGGGUGAUCGGCCACACUGGAACUGAGACACGGUCCAGACUCCUACGGGAGGCAGCAGUAGGGAAUCUUCCGCAAUGGGCGAAAGCUUGACGGAGCAACGCCGCGUGAGUGAUGAAGGUCUUCGGAUCGUAAAACUCUGUUAUUAGGGAAGAACAAAUGUGUAAGUAACUAUGCACGUCUUGACGGUACCUAAUCAGAAAGCCACGGCUAACUACG
rnacentral:rRNA from 1 species